AUGUCCUGAACGCUUAAUUCUUUACCCAAAGAAGCGGAGGACCCAUUUUCCUGGGGUGAAUCCCCCUGGAAACGAGGCGCCCUUGAUGCGUGGCGUUGUACCAGGUUUCCCGGGGGUAGGGUUAUCCUUUCAACCCGAACCCGUCAGCUAACUUCGUAAGCGUGGAAGGGAGGACAU
rnacentral:sRNA from 2 species